rnacentral:rRNA from 1 species
UACGUAGGGGGCAAGCGUUGUCCGGAUUUAUUGGGCGUAAAGAGCGUGUAGGCGGCUUGGUAGGUCCGCUGUGAAAACUCGAGGCUCAACCUCGAGAUGUCGGCGGAAACCACUUGGCUAGAGUCCGGGAGAGGAGAGUGGAAUUCCUGGUGUAGCGGUGAAAUGCGCAGAUAUCAGGAAGAACACCUAUGGCGAAGGCAGCUCUCUGGGACGGUACUGACGCUGAGACGCGAAAGCGUGGGGAGCGAACAGG